rnacentral:rRNA from 1 species
AUACGGAGGGUGCAAGCGUCAAUCGGAAUUACUGGGCGUAAAGCGUACGUAGGCGGUUCGUUAAGUUAGAUGUGAAAGCCCCGGGCUUAACCUGGGAACUGCAUUUAAAACUGGCGGACUAGAGUUGAGUAGAGGGGAGUGGAAUUUCAGGUGUAGCGGUGAAAUGCGUAGAGAUCUGAAGGAACACCAGUGGCGAAGGCGACUCCCUGGACUCGAACUGACGCUGAGGUACGAAAGCGUGGGUAGCAAACGGGAUUAGAUACCCUAGUAGUCC